AAAAAAAAAAAAAACUAUUUUCUCUUCAAUCUUCUCUUCUUCUCUCCCACCACACAUGAAGACAUUCUCUGUGUGCCCUAGCAGCCGCCGACCAUCUCCUCUCCAUUUGGUACCGUGCGUCCGAUCGAGCCACCACCAGUUCGUCGAUUGUUCGUUCGUGGUUGUCGUUCAUGCAGGUCAGCUCGACCUCGUCAGCAAGCAGCGAUCGUCUAGAUCUCCUCUGUCGUACACCUCUCCGCACGUCGAUCUCGCCCAGCCGGUCAGAUUCGUGUCCGCGCCGCACUGUCCACCAAGGUCUGAAGCCGAACGACCCAGCCCAGCCAUCGAAACUCCCUUCGUGAGCCGAUCCUCCGCUCUGUUCCGUCGAGAGUCAUUCGUGCACUCGGUCCUGCACACCAUUGCCGUCAGUUCAGUGUCAUCGCCGUUGAUUUCGAUAAGAUUUUAUUCGAGCUUUGGAGGAAUUUUAAGGUCGAAGUGUGUUGUCCGACAUUACAAAGGAUUGAUUUUGUUGCAGUUGGUUAGCCAAUAGAAUUGGGUUUUUAAAAUUUGUUUUGGACGAAGCCACAAUUACGGUGUUACUUCAAGGUCUUGGUUGGAAAGAAGAAGAUAAACUUGCUUGGUUUUAUUUGGAUUUAAUUCUGAGGUAAGGGUAGAGAUGCACCGACGAUGACACAGUGGAAUUCGUGAUCGUGCCACUUGGACUAGUU